GCUCGAGUGGCGAAAUCGGUAGACGCAGUGGACUCAAAAUCCACCGGGGUAAAACUCAUGACGGUUCGAGUCCGUCCUCGAGCACCA
rnacentral:tRNA from 1 species